rnacentral:lncRNA from 1 species
CUAUCCCUCGCGAUAAAGACCGAUCCACUUCCAUCUGCAAAUUAGAUCGGCGACCUCUCCUCUUCCGGGCGCUGCUCUGUUCGACCUGAAGCAGCCUCGACGUGAAGCCACCAGGGCGUCGUAGCUCUGUCCAGAUUUAUUUGAAAUCAACGUGAAGCUGCUGCUUGGGAUGGGAUGGCUGCUGCUGACGGUACUGCGUGACGCUGCAAACUGAUGAUGGCCUGGUACAUGCCUGAAGCUGCUGCUUGAGAACAGGAGGUGAAUCAUUGUUGCCGAGUGGAAUUUGCUCCCUGUGGGCCUCCUUUUUGAAGAUUACCAAGUUGGAAUAGCAAAAUGUUGGAGAGAUAGCUUUUUUUCUACUUGCUAAAUAAAAUAGUAACUUGCCAAACCACA